rnacentral:lncRNA from 10 species
AUAGUCAAGGGAGCACUGAGCAGGUCACCUAUCAUAGCCCAGGAGAGCAUGAAGAAUGGGUUCUGGGUAAGCUUGCUGGAGGAGGAGACCUGUAACUUGAAGGAAGAGCAGAAGUUAGCCUGGUGAAGAGAAGGGUGGACCAAACAUGUAAAUGCCCAGGGAAGCGGCAGACCCGCUUUCUAAGUUUAUGCAGAAACUGAAGCGCUGGCAAGUCCUCCCUGCGGCCUCAGGGGUGUGGCCCACUGUGGCUGCAUCCGGACAGGAAGAGUCGAAUCCCAAAGAUGCUGCUAGAUGUGCCGAGAGAUUCCUGAUCCAGCCAAAACAUGUCAGAGCAGAAUGAGGGCCACGGCGUCGGGCAUGGUGACCCUCAGUAACAGUCCGAGCGCUCGGACCCGAGGGCCGUCCCAUGCGCAAUCCUGACGGCUCUUGCCUGCAGCCCAGGUCGGGCCGGAGGAGGGGCCGCUCCCCGCUCCCCGGCUGUAACAGACAAAAGGCUCAGGGAGGGUAUCAGGGGACCCGGUGCUGACCCGGCAGAGGCAGGGUGAACAAGCCCGGGGUCAAGCGAAGCCGCA